ensembl:lncRNA
GUGAUUACUGAAGGGGAAAGAAGGCCAGUCAUCACAGGAGUACAAAAAGGAAAAAAAAAAAGUAUUUACUGUGGGCUAUUGGCAAGUACUUAACUCUCACUUUAAGCAAAAAUUCCUCCUUAUCGGAGGAAGAAAAAAGGCACAAAAUGGUUGUGCUUAAAGAAGGCAAGUCUCACCAGCUGUUUUAAAAUCAAUGAUUAAAAUGAAUGAUACCUCAUCAUUUCCUUUCUUCCCUCCUAAAUAUGCACGGUGUAUUUGCACUCGUACACUGCGAAGGUCCUAAAGACUUAAGGAAAAGGAAGGUGCAGAGAGAGUCCUUGGAAUGUGCUCUCACAGGUACAUAUCUACUAGUGCGGCACUUCUGUUCCACUAGAUGAAAGGACCUUGCAGAAGCAUCUGUUCCCUUGCCCCAACUGUCUUACGUACUACAGUGGAGACCUCCAAAGCAGCAGGACUUCAGGGAAGGCAGCCAAACUUCACUGAUAAUCCUGGCACCACAGGCAAAUCCCAAAUCAACUUCAUGUGAAUGUGAUUCUUUAGGAGCAGAGUAACAAAAUGAGACAUGCAAUGACAGAAAACUGUUAAGUGGCUCCCAUGGAAAUACUGACUAGUCCAGAAUUUUUGGCAGAUAAGAAGUAUCCUGGAGUCCUUGGUGAAGGGAUUGAAUAUUUGACUUUUCUAAGUAACUGGCAACACAAUGACCGGAGCUCUACUGGAGUCAUCAUAUUGAUGCCAAAUGCGGUGGGAAAACUGACUGGCCCAGCGUGUUGCAGCCGUGUAGCUCAUGGACCCCCGCCUGCCUCCUAUGCAGCUGGGAUUACAGGCAUGAGCCACCACACCCAUAUUUUAGAGACUGGUGAAAAUUGCUAGUGCUGACUGUGUUUCUAGUCAUGAGGAAAGCUGAGAACAGUUUUCACUGUGCAAAUAUAAUGUCUUGGAUUGAUCUUGCAGGUGUAGACACUACUGCUGCAUGAGCACACAGCUUGUUCUGCUACCUCUGUGAAAGGGAUGAGGUGAGACUUACAGGUGUGACCUCAUGAGUGACUGCUGAGUGUGUGAAUCAGAAACUCAGGCCCACUGGUGGCAUCUGCCCAGUGCACAUUAAAAAAUGUUCCUCACU